ACGAGUCUUCCCCCGGUUUUUUUUUUCUGGCUGCAGCAACUUAAUUGGUUGAUUGCAGAGCCACUUCUGUUUCAAUUACUUUUGAUUGAUUCCCAGGUCUGUGUCAGCCUUUCAGUGCACCCGACAUCCUAGGAACAAAUCUGUAGCAGCUGAAGAUGAAAAUAGCUUCCCCUGGCACUUAGGAUGAAAAUUCAGGCCUCGCCUCAGAACGUGAGGGCCGCGCCUGGCCUUUCUGACAAAUAAACGGGGCCUCGGGUCAGUUAGAGCUGCUGAUCAUGGUCAAGAGCCUUGCCUACUUCGCAGUCUCGUCACUAGCUUGUUGCAAAAACGAGCUUAAUCCGCUUUUCUGAUUGCCUUCCUUCCUUCCAAAAGUGCCAGUGGCCAAUUUGGGCUUCAGGAGUGAGGCUGAGAGAGAGUGGCUUCCCUCGGUCAGUCUAGUGCCUUAGCCACUACAUUGCAUCAGCUCUCCAGCCUCAUAGUUGCAGCAUGUGAGGGCAUCGGAGACCAAGGGAGAUUGAAGCAAUGCCCCCUCCAAACAAAACAAGACACCAUGCACCAGGGAUGGUGGACCAGGGGGGUUGGACCUGAUGGCCUUAUAGGCCCAACUCUACUAUUCUGUGAUAUUGCUAGGUCUCAAGAAAGCCCAAGUUAAAGGUACAACUUGCAGCAUAACAAAAAAAUCUGUUGACUAGAGGUUGCGGAGAGGCAGAAACAAGGAAAUAUGUGUUCUGUGGACAGUGAGGGAUCUGCAGUGCAGAACAGAGGAAGAGAAGCUUUGGCCACCGCAUAUUAUUCCCUUCUUCAAAGAGACAAGAGAAAUACUUAAAUGAAAAAGAGUUAAAGAUUACGUUGAAUGUUGUACUCGUUUUAGUAAAUUGUUCUCUUUCUAAGUGUGGGUGCACACACGCACAUGCCUAAAAGCUUUUCAGAAUCUCUUAGCAAACUAGGCCAGAAGCAGGCCCACCGCCAGCCAGAGAGGGACCUGCUGGAAUUGAAGCUGGUUUUAUAAUUUAUGGUACUAAUCAUGCUCAACGGUCACUUCUUGUGGUUUCCUUCUAAGUUGUCUUUGAUUCUUCCUGCUUGUACAGCAUAUGCUGCUGUUGUAGCUGCUGAAACACAUUUACAAAACCUAAGUGUUCUGCUCUUUCAUUGCCACAUUGUUGGUGUAGGUGUUAUUCAUGCUGGUGUUAGUAGUUAGGGGCCCUCUAAGCUGGGACAUCUUGGUGCUGUGUGUUCCUCAACAGUUUUGCAGAAAUGACACCCCAUUCCAGCCCGGCUGCCAUUGGUGUAUUUCCACAUUUUCAACAUGAGAGUACAGAUUGGUCACCAGUGAUUUCAUUUUUGCUGCAAUUGUACUCAUAGGAGUUGUAAAUGAUCCAACAAAUGAGGCUGAGUUGAGCUACCUUGUCAUAGAAAUCUAUGUGGAAUCUUUUCUGUUGUGAACAGAAUCCCAAUGUGUCCUGUUUCUACCUUGUGAUGGAAAAAUGAUUGAUCACAUCUCCUUGUUAAUUUUUUUAAACAAUUGUAUCA